rnacentral:rRNA from 1 species
UACGAAGGGGGCUAGCGUUGCUCGGAAUCACUGGGCGUAAAGCGCACGUAGGCGGCUUCUUAAGUCAGGGGUGAAAUCCUGGAGCUCAACCUCCAGAACUGCCCUUGAUACUGAGGAGCUCGAGUCCGGGAGAGGUGAGUGGAACUCCGAGUGUAGAGGUGAAAUUCGUAGAUAUUCGGAAGAACACCAGUGGCGAAGGCGGCUCACUGGCCCGGUACUGACGCUGAGGUGCGAAAGCGUGGGGAGCAAACAGG